UAAUAUCUGGGCAGAAAUGUGACAGUGAGAAGUUUUGAUGUGUGCAAGGAGGACAGCUACAGCAAAUGAGCAUUCUCCGUUUAAUAUAGUAUCAACCAAGUAGGCUGUGCUGAAAAAAGGAAGGAAAAUAGAUCCUAAAUCUAUGUGUAGGCAAGGAUUGUGAUCCUAAAUCUAUUUUGCACAGAAUAACCAAAUGUUGGCUUGAGUUAACAAAUAAGCUACAAAAUAAUGUAGAAAGCUACGGUAGGACAGAACCUUUCUCUAAGUCUGCCCUUUAGAUUUAUAAAUGCCAUUUUUCUAUGGAAACUAAGGGGUUUUGGGUGACUGAUGAAUGCUAUCUGAGAAACAGGAUUUCAGAGGAUCCUUAAAACUUCUGCAGAAUUGGGAAAAAUACCUUAAUUUUGCAGAACAGUCAUUUGAUGACUAAUGGGACAAAAGGUAACAGUCUGGGUAUCUAGAGACUUUCUCCUACUCUCUACCUGCAAAAGAAUUUGGAUUUCGCCUACUCUUUCUCUUUCCCAUCUUCUGCAGAAGGUUCUUCCAAUUGUUGUGCUGAAUUGGGAGACACGAUGAAGGAAAAAAACAGAAAGCAGAGAGGAACUCUCCCUCUUUAGAGAACCCUAAAUGGUAGGAUAAUAAUCUACUAAGAGUCCUUUGUGUGGGAAGACAGAGCACCGAGAUGAGGAGUAGGUCAUCAGAGUGAUAGCAGACGUUGAAUGGAGUAGAUAAUGAGGGAGAUGAUUCUAGAAUGGAGGAUGAAACAUUCUAGAGACAUCUGAGUCCAAAAAAGAGAAUGGAUGGUUUUAAUAAUAUUCCCAUUUAAGGUGCUUACAAGAUGCCACAACACUUUAGAAUUCUUAUUUGGAUGAUAGCACUUCAAAUUUCAAGUUACUAAUGGGCUGAACCACGUGGCUCAUGGCUUUAACAGGGUUGCAAGUGUAUAUGACAUUGCCUGCAUUCCUCCUUUCUUUUGUCAAACCUUCUAAUUAUUCCCAAAGUCAUGGAUGCUUAACUCAGAAGCACACACACAGGUGGCUUUGUUUCCUCAAACAGAGAAUGGGCUGGAGGAGUUCGGCUCCUCUUAAAGCAAAACACUUUUCACAAAAGAAAUGAAAAAAAUAUAUAGCCAAGAAAGGCCCCCCUGACAAGUGAAGAGAGGCAUCGAGCAAGUCAAAUAAUGAGUUGUGGCUGCAGAGGUGCAAGCUCUUCAUCUACAAAGCUGAGGACCAUGAGGCUAAGGAACUACCAAAAGGCCCGGAGCUAGCAGAACCCAAGAAGAGGCCAGUCUACCUGGUCAUUGUUCGGCUCUCUGAUCUCUUCACCGGAACUUUCAAAACAGGCUCUUCAGAUUAGCAACCCCUGCAGAGAGUCCUUUUCUGCCAAUAGCCCCUCCAGAAGUUGUCAGUAUGUUUUCACUGCCUCGGGCACAUGAUCAUCCCUGAACCAAUCAUCUAGACCACGGGUUGGAGUGUUCUCAUCAUGCCAGUGUCCAGAGCCUGGAAGCCACUGGGUAAAUUCAGUGAUACUCCAACUGAGUGAACAGAAAGCUGGAGCGAUGUGGUUGCACAAAAGAAUGAUGAACUCAGAGAAACUUCUACACAUGGCAGUGGCCUCUAACAUAAGAAGGCAGGGAGAAGAAAGGGAGACGAAGCGAAAUGGCUCCAUAUGUGCAAAACCAGUAUUUCCAGACCAAUCAACUGGAUCUUGGAUCUGCAGUCACCUGCAUCAUGGAUUGAACUCUUUUGAACUUUAAAGUUAUCUUUCCUCAUUUUUCUUUAUUGCAAGCCUUUUUGAUACCUACUUCCAUCUCUUGUUCUUGAUUUUCAUAGAGAGUUUCAUAGUCAUACAAUAGAAAAAUACAUUUGGUCGAAAAAAUAUUUCAUAAAGACAUUUCCUCUGUACCUAGAUUAAUCAGAGGUCAUGUGUGCGUGGGGCUCUUAAGUAGAUUGCUUUUGGUUCUCAGUGCAGCAUCAGUUUGGACCCCUUAAAACGUUUCUACUGAAGGAUGAUUGCUAUGCACCAUUCAGAUGUUGAGUGUUGGGGACUUUCACCUGGACUCUGUCUGUCUGCUCUCUGUCUCUCUCUCUGCCAUUGAACAAAGGAGUAUUUACACAGAAGCAAAGAUUCUGGGAUACAUGGGCUCUUUGUCCUUUUGAAAGAGAAUAUUUGGACAUAUUUUCAGCUUUUCUCUGUGUGCCCAAACUUCUUUUUAUUUUAUAUUUUAAAAGUUAGCUUUGAUUCUUCAAAUAGCACACCUGUUCCAAAGAAGGACACUGGGCACCAGAGAAAGCUUCAAAAAGUGUAACUGUAGAGCAUAGCAUAACUCUAUAUUCCCACUUACCCUUCUGUUGUCAUUGUUAUUUAAAAGACCUUCAUCCCUAACACUAGAGCCCCUUGGCUGUCACCAUGGCUGCUUCCACUCUCCUUGCUUAUUUAAUGGUAUGUGAAUGCAACAUGUCAUCAAGUCCCAAAGCUCCAUUUUUGUGCCUGUUCAAGACCCUCUGCCUCAUGAUCCUUAACCUCAAAGAGUUCAUAUUUAAAAAUUGGAGGGGCUAAGUGUACUUCCCAUGUGAAUCCAUAGGGAGUGACCUCAAAAACAUCAGUCAUAUGCUCAGCCAGUAGAGUUGCCCCUAGAAAUUCCCCUUGGAUGUGUGAUGCCCUGUGUAAAAUAUGCAGCUCCUAUUAGCUUGCAGGGAAGAUUUCUGAUGUCUAUCCUACAGUGAUCCUGGCUGACUUAUGCAUGUGAAUUCAGGUCCUCUAUGUACACUCCAGGUGGUUGUGGCCAAAAUGCAUUUCUUCUGAAUUGCAUAAUUGUAGUUCUCCCCUCAGUGAGGUGGUUGCAGAGCAAAGAGAAGCUGAGUUAAUGGAACAACUCCAGGACAUUCUCCACAAGACAGUGUUUAGACAGCUUCAGAGCUAUGCAUGGGGUUCAUCAUGUGGUCAGACUUCUAAUGGUUGUCUAGACACCUGGACAUCCAGGCUGCCAUUUGUCCCUGAUUCAUGGUGGAUUCUGAAGGGCUUUAUUUAUAACUCAAAGAAACUUGCACAUACACACACACACACACACACACACACACGGAUAUGCACAUACAUGCACACACACAAACAUAUACAUACCUCAGGAAGGAAAGGGGAAACCUUUCAAAGGAUAUCUAUAAAUGAUAUUCUUUAAUGUACAUGGUUCCUCCCAUGGUUCUCCAGGCUCUGUCUAAAUGGUUUAAUGUUUUCAUCUGGUCAUCAGAUUUCCUGCAGAGAGGAGAGCUCAAACAUCUUGUUUGGGAAAGACUCUUGCAGCUGUGCAA